GUGCCAGCAGCCGCGGUAAUACGAAGGGUGCAAGCGUUACUCGGAAUUACUGGGCGUAAAGCGAGCGUAGGUGGUCGUUUAAGUCCGUUGUGAAAGCCCUGGGCUCAACCUGGGAACUGCAGUGGAUACUGGGCGACUAGAGUGUGGUAGAGGGUAGCGGAAUUCCUGGUGUAGCAGUGAAAUGCGUAGAGAUCAGGAGGAACAUCCAUGGCGAAGGCAGCUACCUGGACCAACACUGACACAGAGGCACGAAAGCGUGGGGAGCAAACAGGAUUAGAUACCCUGGUAGUCCACGCCCUAAACGAUGCGAACUGGAUGUUGGGUGCAAUUUGGCACGCAGUAUCGAAGCUAACGCGUUAAGUUCGCCGCCUGGGGAGUACGGUCGCAAGACUGAAACUCAAAGGAAUUGACGGGGGCCCGCACAAGCGGUGGAGUAUGUGGUUUAAUUCGAUGCAACGCGAAGAACCUUACCUGGCCUUGACAUGUCGAGAACU
rnacentral:rRNA from 1 species